UGUCUCCUCCUUUAGUGCUCAGCUUGGAAGUGCUCUGCGCAGACCUGUCAAGGUUCCCAAGUAUAAGAGAGCUUAAGAGUCAGAUAACCAUUGGAUUUUGUGCUGGAAACUAUCAUAAAUUUUCAGAAUUUGAUCAGAAAGCCACAACGUCAAGCUGAACCACCUACUGUAUUGGUACAGACAAUCUAUCCCGGACCAAAAGUCAGCUGACCUGUAUGAUUCCCGCCUUGGCUGAAGCAAACUGGAAGAGGACCCAUUCAUAUGUAUUGGGUCCCCAAAUACCUAGACGGUCCCCUCUCUGCAGGCCCAGUGCCAGAAGACCUGCCGCCACCUUGUUAACCUGCACAGACAUCAUAGAAGACCAAGGCCUCACGGUCAGGCCAGCGCUGCGCAGCAUCUUCCAGGCUCUGUCCCACUGUCUGGUUGAGUAGGGAGAUGGUGGAGGUGCCGUGGACAUAGCUACUGGUCAGAGAGGGUCGACAUGGAGGACUGUCCACAUGGAGUCGCCUGGUCAUUGAACGCACCGAUGCACCGUUCUCCGAUGCAAAGAUGGCUGUAUGGAUGGAUUUGGAUGUAUUUUCCCCAUUUUUCUUUCACCUCAUACUUGCUCCCGAAUGAUGAUACUAUGUGGGAAUGCAUAA